rnacentral:pre_miRNA from 1 species
CAGGGGAGCGCGGGAUCCUGGGCUGUGUCCCCGGCGCCCUGGGAUGGGGGCCUGCGCUGCUGGCAUCGCGCUCCGGGGCCGCGGCUCCUG